GGCUGGUCUCAGGACAGUGGUGUUUACAACUAAUUGAUCACAACCAGUUAUAGAUUUAUUUGUUCCUUCUCUAUUCCCACUGCUUCACUUGACUAGCUUAAA
rnacentral:Y_RNA from 1 species